GUUUCGUAGGUUACAUAAGCGUGAAUAGUUUUGUUAUUUCAUAGCUAACGUUUUAUUAUUUCAUAGCUAACGUUUUAUUAUAUAUAUAUUUAAUAUAUCCAUGCUGUGGACAUAUAGUGCUUAUGUUUAGUUAACAACCUGACGUUGAAGUUGGUCUUUCAGAAUAAUGCAAACUUUGAAAGGAGUCAGACACUUGAUGACAUCAGCUACCAUGAAACAAGCAGUGACAGAGUUCAAUAUGCCAGUGCCGUGGGGAGAGAUAAGGGGCAAGGUCUGGGGUCCUGACCAUGGUCGACCAAUACUCUGCCUGCACGGCUGGGCAGACAACUGUGGCACUUUCAACACCCUCAUUCCACUGCUGCCAAAAGAGUGGAAGUGUGUAGCUGUGGAUAUGGCUGGCCAUGGCCUCUCCUCCCAUAGACCUCCUGGAGUCUUCUACAGCUUUCCUGCUUAUGUGGCUGACAUACGGCGAGUCAUUGGAGCUCUCCAAUGGAAGAGAUUCUCUAUUAUCGGACACAGUAUGGGUGGCAAUGUAGCUGGAAUGUUCAGUGCGUUGUAUCCAGAGAUGGUGGAGUCAGUGGUUCUCCUGGACUCCUAUGGAUUCUUACCCACAGACGCAAAGGAAUUGCAUACGGUGAUAAGACAGGGAUUUGAAGGAAUGCUUGAGUUUGAGAAGAAGAAAGAUGAGAAGAAAGAGAAGGUUUACACCUAUGAGAACGCAUUGAUGAGGCUUUUGGCAGCAAACCCCACUCUCUCGGAGCAGUCAGCCCACAUUCUUCUAGAACGAGGACUCGCUCAGGUUGAAGGAGGGGUGGUGUUCACCCGAGACUUUAGAAUCAAUCUGAAAAACGUUGUGCGUGUCAGUCUGGAGCAGAGUCUGGAGUUGCAGUCCAGGAUACAGGCCAGAGUUCUAGUAGUGCUGGCAGAGGAGGGGUUUGAGAAGAUGUUUUCUGAACCACAACAGAAGACAUUUACCUCAACGCUACUUCUAGGGUAUAAAGACCAAAGCGGCAUGGUGGUUAACGUACCUGGUGAUCAUCAUGUCCACCUGAACACCCCUGAGACUGUGGCUCAACUCGUCACUGACUUCCUCCAGAAAGAAGCUCCUUCACACAGCACUGCAGAGGAUACACAGGCAGCCAAGUUAUAAUCCCCUGCCCCUCCCCCACGGUGAUUCGGCUUCACACCAAUCAGAUGCAGACCUACAUUUCCACUUCCUGGAUGUGGCCCAAUGAGAAGUGGAUUAGAGAUGAGCAGUCUCCUUAUAAGGAAAUCAUAUUGCUUCUUCCUGAGCGACGGAUAUGAAGGAGAACAUUACCCUCUUACUCUGUGAUGGUUUGUGCGUUAAAUGAACUGGAAUCGAUUUCAUGCAGAAGAUGAAGGAGGCGACCGGAGACAUCUGAAGGGUCCUGGCCCAAAAAAACACCACAAUAACCGUUGCAUAACAUCCGCCUCCACCCAUCACUAGGGCUGUUGUCAUAGCAAUGCCCCCCUCCUCCCCUCCCUUUGAAUGUGACGUCAGAACCCAGAGCAGUAUGAUGAACCUCUCUAUCAUCUGUAUAGAGAGAUCACCUUGGAUUAUAUUAUACCAUCCAGCUGACGGUUGUGCUGCAUUAGACCAAUCCAUCAUCUGAUUAGUGACUCCAUUGCUCCUCCAUUUUACACAAACAUCAUUUUCAGAGGAAGGCGGGCACAGCAGAGACCACAGUACCAUGUCCUGGAUGUUCCUGGACUGGUUCGUCCCCAUCUACCUGCUGGUGUCGGUCCUGGUGCUGGCCGGCUUCGGCGCCUGUCUCUACUUCCUCGAGCCAGGGCUUCAGGACGCACACAAGUGGAGCAACAAGACUGUGAAGCACCAUCCACUGGUGGUCAGCUUGAACAGCAAAGACGAAGAUGGCAAUGCCCUCAUAUGAUAUGACCACACACACUACGGGAAGGACAGAAGCUGACCACAUGGAGUGGAGCUGCGACUGGAGGACCGCAGGAUGGUAGAUAGAGACAGACACCUCCUGAGAGGUUUGGGACGUGAGAGGCCUGACUGGGAAGAAACAGAAUUGAGAGGAAGGCACUGUGGUCAGGUGAUGUCACCCGUUGAAAUGUGAAAUAACGUUAUCAUCGAGAGGGGAAACAAAAAAUGAGGUCAUUUGAACAAAGGGAUAGUUCCUGUUUUCAUGUUCAUAUCUGUGCCAUUUCAUGAUUGUGCCAAUUUUUACAUAUCUUUUGUAACCAGACAUUCACUGCAUUUAUCAUGAUGUUUAUGUAUCUUAGUGCAUUUGAAGCUGACUAAUAAAGUGCAAUACAUUUCUAAAUGUUGAAACCACAAAAUCAGUUUUCUGAAAAUGUCAAUAUGGCAGCUGCUAUCAAGAUGUCUCUUGUUUGGAAGUAUUUGUAAAUGAAGUAUUAGUAUAUAGUAUUUGAAUGAAACUGUCAAUUGCUUUCAGGAAUGAUAUCAGUUAUGUGCCAAAUAGAUUGAUGAAUAAAUUCUUCAAGAUGCCAAAAUAAUCCAUUCAGAGGUCGAUCCUAAGAAAACAUUUGUAUUUUAUUCUCAUCACGCUGCCCUUUUUUACUGAAGGGUGGUGGGAAAAAAGUAUGUAUGUAUCAUUUUGCACUUUUGACCAUGUUACCAUAAUUAUAUAUUCAUAAAAAAUAACCAAAUAAAUGGAUUUAUCACCACUUGAA